CCUAUGCGACGCGGAGGGACAUUACCGAGUUUACAACUCCCAAACCCCUGUGAACAUACCAAUUGUUGCCUCGGCGGAUCAGCCCGCUCCCGGUAAAACGGGACGGCCCGCCAGAGGACCCCUAAACUCUGUUUCUAUAUGUAACUUCUGAGUAAAACCAUAAAUAAAUCAAAACUUUCAACAACGGAUCUCUUGGUUCUGGCAUCGAUGAAGAACGCAGCAAAAUGCGAUAAGUAAUGUGAAUUGCAGAAUUCAGUGAAUCAUCGAAUCUUUGAACGCACAUUGCGCCCGCCAGUAUUCUGGCGGGCAUGCCUGUUCGAGCGUCAUUUCAACCCUCAAGCCCCCGGGUUUGGUGUUGGGGAUCGGCGAGCCCUUGCGGCAAGCCGGCCCCGAAAUCUAGUGGCGGUCUCGCUGCAGCUUCCAUUGCGUAGUAGUAAAACCCUCGCAACUGGUACGCGGCGCGGCCAAGCCGUUAAACCCCCAACUUCUGAAUGUUGACCUCGGAUCAGGUAGGAAUACCCGCUGAACUUAAGCAUAUAA
rnacentral:rRNA from 1 species